rnacentral:rRNA from 1 species
CGUGUAGGCGGGACGGAAGGUGCUUUGUGAAAGCCCUCGGCUCAACCGGGGAAUUGCUAGGCAAACCGACGUCCUUGAGGCAGGUAGAGGUGAGUGGAACGACUGGUGGAGCGGUGAAAUGCGUAGAUAUCAGUUGGAACGCCUGAGGCGAAAGCGGCUCACUGGGCCUGUUCUGACGCUGAGACGCGAAAGCGUGGGUAGCAAACA